GGCCAUUACGGCCGGGGGUGUUACAGAGGUGGUAUCAGAGCAUGGUUUCGUCCAUGCUUCCGGAACUCAUGAUUUAAUCGGUUUUAAAUAUUUAUCGAGUCAAAAUGAGUCACAAAAGGCAUUAGGGAAACCGGUCACGUCCAGCGAUAGAAUUUGUGGUUUUAGGAAAUUAGGAUUGAGAUAGUGGAAUCUAGAACUGUUAGGUUGCUUGGGUAGAACUGUUAGGUUGCUGGUUAGCAUUGCGGUUAGGUUGCAUUGUUAGUAUUUGCUGGGUUAGUAGAUUAUUGGGAUUAGUUGUCUACUAACUUGCAUGUUAAGUGUUCUUUUGAGUUGCAGCGAGUAAGUAUGUUUGUUGAUCGGAACUUUAAGGGAUGAAACCUUAAAGUGGAGGGAGUUCGAGGCCAAACCCAAACCCGAAGCGAAAGAGGAGAGACAGGUUCAGAGAACUGGACAGUGGUAUGGACUGGACAGAUGGGAGUAAACAAAACUUCGUUGGGAAAGGACUUCAUCAGUAGUUGGGAAGACGAAGAUCGAGAAAGGAUUUGAGGAAUCUGGACAAGAUAGUAUCAUGGACAAUGAGGGUGUUAUGGAAGAGUAAAAGAAAGAGGAUGACUCAGUGAUCAUUCCAGUGAUAGAGAUAUGAAGACGAUUGUGGAGACCUUGAAGAGGACACUCAAGGAACCGUGGUGGACAGAGUAAAGAGGUUAUGGAGACGACUGGAGAGUGUUGUGAAGACGAGCAAUUUCGCAACUAAGAAUUCGAGGACGAAUUCUAUUAAGGGGGGGAGAAUGUAGAAACCCG
rnacentral:misc_RNA from 1 species